CUAUGAUCUGAGAUAUGAUCAUGGCAAAAGGAG
rnacentral:ncRNA from 1 species